CUUCAGCGACCCCAGCCACACCGGCCGGUCCUCGGCCCGGCCCUGCCCGUACGUCGCGAGCAGCGCCUCCGCCUC
rnacentral:antisense_RNA from 2 species